rnacentral:rRNA from 1 species
CCUACGGGCGGCAGCAGUGGGGAAUAUUGGACAAUGGGGGGAACCCUGAUCCAGCCAUGCCGCGUGUGUGAAGAAGGCCCUUGGGUUGUAAAGCACUUUCAGUGAGGAAGAACGCCUGGUGGUUAAUACCCAUCAGGAAAGACAUCACUCACAGAAGAAGCACCGGCUAACUCCGUGCCAGCAGCCGCGGUAAUACGGAGGGUGCGAGCGUUAAUCGGAAUUACUGGGCGUAAAGCGCGCGUAGGUGGCUUGAUAAGCCGGUUGUGAAAGCCCCGGGCUCAACCUGGGAACGGCAUCCGGAACUGUCAAGCUAGAGUGCAGGAGAGGAAGGUAGAAUUCCCGGUGUAGCGGUGAAAUGCGUAGAGAUCGGGAGGAAUACCAGUGGCGAAGGCGGCCUUCUGGACUGACACUGACACUGAGGUGCGAAAGCGUGGGUAGCAAACAGGAUUAGAUACCCUAGUAGUC